CCUACGGGUGGCAGCAGUGGGGAAUAUUGGGCAAUGGAGGCAACUCUGACCCAGCAACGCCGCGUGAAUGAUGAAGGUUUUCGGAUUGUAAAGUUCUGUGAUGGGGGAUGAACACAACGAUGGUACCCCAAUAACAAGCCACGGCUAACUCCGUGCCAGCAGCCGCGGUAAUACGGAGGGGGCAAGCGUUCGCCGGAAGGACUGGGCGUAAAGGGUGCGUAGGUGGUUUAGUAAGUUGGCGGUGUAAUUCCGGAGCUCAACCUCGGCGCUACCGCCAAAACUAUUAGACUAGAGUGCAGGAGGGGUAAGUGGAAUUCCUAGUGUAGCGGUAGAAUGCGUAGAUAUUAAGAGGAACA
rnacentral:rRNA from 1 species